CAGACUCCAACACAAACAGAACAAAGACACAAACUGGAUCAGGACAGUUACUGGAACUGGAUCACUGGGACCCGACUGGUUCUGGUUUCCCUCUCUGACUGACUGAAGUUCAGAAGAUGGACUAAAGCAAGACAGGACAGAACCAUCCAGGUCCAACUUCCUGUCAAAGAGAAACAAUCACUGUCAACAAUAUCCUCCAUACUUCACCCUGAAGCCUCAGACAUGAAAGGUCAAAGACAGAGAGCAACUAACUGUCCAUCUGUGAGGAGUGACCAGUCCAUUGAGAAGCCUCCAUUCUUCAGUGAUGAGCCUGGAUCCUCAGACACACAAGGUCGGAACCAAAGACGGAGAGCAGAACCUUCAGCAUCCAAACUGUCCAUCUGUGAGGAGUGACCGGUCCAUUGUCAACCUCCAUUCUUCAGUGAUGAGCCUGGAUCCUCAGAAGGUCAAAGACAGAGAACAACUAACUGUCCAUCUGUGAGGAGUGACCGGUCCAUUGAGAAGCCUCCAUUCUUCAGUGAUGAGCCUGGAU